rnacentral:lncRNA from 1 species
GAAAAAUAUCUUCCCUCCUAUGAGUAACAGUAGAACAAUGGAAAAAGUUCUAAACUGGAAUCAGAAGACUGGGCUCCGUCUUCAGUUCUGCUUCCUCAAUGUAUCCACCUCGCCCGGCUCUCCCCCGCUUCCUAAAGCUACUUAUCCCGGGAAAGCUCGCGCGGGGCCCGGGAGCGAACCCACAGACAAAAAGU